GGCCAAUUGAAGUGCAUGCUCACGAUCCUUUAAGAUACGUUGGUGAUAUGCUGGGAUGGUUGCAUCAGGCAUUGGCAUCUGAAAGAGAGCUUGUCCUUGCAUUGCUUGACCCGGAUGCAUCAGAUACUAGACCAGCUAGUCAUAACUACUCCAAAGGCAUAGAUAGCGAGUCUGAGAAGACAGAAUCUGACUUGACUUUUGUUCUAGACAGGAUAUUUGAAGGAGUUUGCCGCCCUUUUAAAGUUAGAGUGGAACAAGUUUUGCACUCCCAACCUAAUCUUAUAAUUUCUUACAAGCUUAGCAAUACACUGGAGUUCUAUUUCUAUACAAUAUCGGAUUUGCUGGGGAUAGAAACAUCUCUUUGUAAUACCUUAUUGGUUCUCAAGGAAGCAGCCCAGAAAACAUUUUUUGACAUACUGAAGGGUCGAGGCGAGAAGCUUUUGAGGUAUCCUCCAUUGGUAGCUGUUGAUCUUUCUCCACCACCAGCUUUAAGGGAAGGAGUUUCAGUGCUGCUUGAAAUUAUUCAAACACAUGAUAGCAUGAUGUUCCCUGCAUCAGGAAAGAAGCCCGACUUUGAUCCAGUUAUAUCUGCUUUGCUAGACCCUAUUAUUCAGAUGUGUGAGCAAGCAGCAGAGGCGCACAAGUCAAAAGGUUCCAUGCACUCCUCAAGAAGGAACAGAAUUACUUCUGAUCCAAGUCAACAUCGCAAAACAUCGGUUGAUGCUCUUUUGGAUGGCAGCAAUUCAGCACUUUUAACGCAGACCAGUGAAACUCCAGCCAAAAUUUUCCUUAUCAACUGCUUAUGUGCAAUCCAGCAACCACUUCUAGGACAUGAUGUUGCAAGCGGCUACGCGAAGAAGCUAGGUGUGAUGAUAGACAAUCACAUAAAUGCUCUCGUGGAAAAAGAAGUUGAAGCUAUUCUAAGAAGAUGUGAUUUAUUAACUAAAAUGUCACAUUUCCGCAAGUCAUUAGAAAUUAAUGAAUCUAGCAACUCCAUAGCAAGGACACCAUUAGCAGAACAAGAGGAUACAUCUCCGGUUUCUGUUGCGGAGAGUUUGAAGGCUUUAUUUGGUCUCAUUUUAGGCAGUGAAACUGCCAUUCCUGAAUUUGAGCAGAUGCAAGUUCCCAGAUUGCGAUCAGAAACAAGUGUUCAGGUAGCUAGAUCGCUUGCCGAAGCUUACGAGCUUAUUUACAGAGCUAUCAUGGAUCCUGAGAAUGGCUACACCGAUCCAAAGUCAUUGGCUAGACAUCCACCUGAUCAGAUAAGAACAAUUUUGGGAAUUUGAUAACUGAAUUAUACUUGUAAUUUGUAGUACGUUGUCUGAUAUUUGUAUUUUUCACUUUUUGAUUCAUAUUUUCU
rnacentral:misc_RNA from 1 species